CGUCGGUGUCAUCAUUUUAGCUACUAUACUUCAAUUUGUAUUGACCAUUCUCAUUCUUUGUGCGUUCGAACUAAGUUUGUUCUAAAAUUGUAUAUGUUAUUACCAAAUAUAUCGAAAUAAGUUACAGUCGAAAUUUAAUACAAAUAAUUGAAAACCUUAUCUAUAUGACGCUGAUGACGGAAAAGAUGAAUUGCCUAUCUAUGUACCUUAAUUGUCUUCCAUUUCAUUAGAGUUGUUGUUGGGUUGUCGCGAACGUACAUUUUCAUUGUUCCUGUACUUGCUGAUCCAAGUUCGAAAGGAUUUAACAAACUCUACCCUUUGAUUUUCCAUUACAAAAAAAUACAGGAAGGGAUUGCAGCAUGAGUUUAUAAAAGUGAAAGCGUCUAACCAACUCCAUACAACAAAUUUUUCGUUAUCAGUUAAACUUUUGUUCACUGCUGAAUACACUCUGAGGAUGCAAGAGGGGAGGUAAGUUGCAUAGAACAAGCACAUAAUGGUAAAAGUUGUACGUACACUUUUCCUUAGAAAGAAAAAUCUCACUUGAGAUCUUCCUGAAAGUUUGGAAAUAUUUCUCGUUUGCUUUCUUGCUGUUUUCAGUACAAUACCAUAUAUUACAGAGAGUAGCCUACGACAAGCUGAGCGAAUGAUAUUACAGACAAAAACAACUCGUAGGCUUCAUAUUUGUCCAAGUUAAAGCUGAUACCAUGUAUGAUCCCAAGAACAAUGGCCGCUAUCCAUGAUAUCGCAAUCAAUGUCCAGGAGACAUUUGAUGUUAUGAGAAUAUUAUACCUCAAAGGCCAAAUGACAGCUAUGAAUCGGUCGAUUGCGAUACAUGUAAUGGCAUUGCCUGUUGAAAAAAUACACACGAUAAACAAGGACGUGUGGAUAUACAUAUAUUCAGUCGCCUCUCGUGAUAUGAUCAAAUGUGUGCGCCAAGGAAGAUACGUUGUUAAAGCGAUGAAGUCCGAUAUAGCUAAAUUUAGAAUCAUUUUAUCCGAGGCAGUGCGUCGUUUUCGGUGACGAGAAACAAGCAAAUAAAUAAUUACACAUAAAUUUGCUGUAGUUCCAACCAAUAUUUGUGAAGAAAUGAAAACUACCAACCAUGUUGAAUGUUGUGAAGUAAGAAGCUUCGUUUCUUCAGUCG